UGGGGAAUUUUGGACAAUGGGCGAAAGCCUGAUCCAGCAAUGCCGCGUGUGUGAAGAAGGCCUUCGGGUUGUAAAGCACUUUUGUCCGGAAAGAAAUCCUUGGCUCUAAUACAGUCGGGGGAUGACGGUACCGGAAGAAUAAGCACCGGCUAACUACGUGCCAGCAGCCGCGGUAAUACGUAGGGUGCAAGCGUUAAUCGGAAUUACUGGGCGUAAAGCGUGCGCAGGCGGUUUGCUAAGACCGAUGUGAAAUCCCCGGGCUCAACCUGGGAACUGCAUUGGUGACUGGCAGGCUAGAGUAUGGCAGAGGGGGGUAGAAUUCCACGUGUAGCAGUGAAAUGCGUAGAGAUGUGGAGGAAUACCGAUGGCGAAGGCAGCCCCCUGGGCCAAUACUGACGCUCAUGCACGAAAAGCGUGGGGGAGCAAAACAGGAUUAGAUACCCUGGUAGUCCACGCCCUAAAACGAUGUCAACUAGUUGUUGGGGAUUCAUUUCCUUAGUAACGUAGCUAACGCGUGAAGUUGACCGCCUGGGGGAGUACGGUCGCAAGAUUAAAACUCAAAUGAAUUGACGGGGUCAUAGCUGUUUCCU
rnacentral:rRNA from 1 species